AUGUCGGUUCAUGGCGCGCAGUUGGUGGAAGGCCAGCAGGAGGUUCGGGAGGAUGAUAUCUGCCGCUGCCUUGAAAAACCUGCCCGUGAAGCCGUCCGGGCCCGACGCGCGGUCAAGCGGCGUGUCCUGGAUGGCUUGCCGGAUUUCCGAGGCAGUGAAUUCCUGCUCAAGCUCAGAGAGGUCAUGGACCGGCAGGUUGGGGCGCUCCCAAUUGAGUCCCGUUGUGGCGGGCGCCGUGGUGCCGAGGACGUCGACGAAGAAGCUCUUAGCCAGGGACGCCUUAUGAGCUUGCUCUGUUUUCAUUAUGUUCCUGCGGGCGAGCCUGGCGACGAUGUUUUUCCGACGCCUCGAGUUGCAUUUGAGGUGGAAGAAACGCGUUUUCGCGUCACCCGCCCGAAGACAGCGCACACGCGACCGCUGCCUGGCCCGGAUGCGCUCGAUCACCAUGAGCCCCAGGAUGCGCGAUUUGAGCGCACGACGGAGCUACAGCUCGUCCUCUUCGAGGUGGCGCGACUCCUGCGCCACAUCCAACAGGAGCACCAUGUCCUGUGCCAUGAGGAGUUGGAGCCUGGUGUUUCCGAUGGAGUUCUUGCUCCAGAUGCAUAG
rnacentral:rRNA from 1 species